CGGCGUGUUCCUUUAAGGCGGGUAUGAGCACUGUAAUUUCCAUUUUUACGGAUGAAAUAAACUUGACUUGACUUGACUUGACUUGGCAGGUGUCGGACCAGCUGGUGGAGAUAAACGGAGACAGUACAUCGGGGAUGACUCACAGUCAGGCUGUGGAGCAGAUCAGGAGGGGGGGACACCGAAUCCACCUCAUCCUCAAGAAAGGAAACGGCUACGUGCCCGACUACGGCCCUGAGGAAGGAGCCCUCUCCCCCUCCUCCUCUUCACACACAGAGGAGACACAUGUGGAAACAGUAACCGUGACAACCGCCUCCCUCGGCCAGCAGCAGAGGGGAGGAGGUGGUACAGAAGGAGUAGGAGUAGGAGGAGGAGGAGGAGGAGGAGAGAGGAGGAAGACGAGGAGAGAGGGAGAAACCAAACGAAGAACAACAGGAGGAAGAGGAGGGCUAGGGCCUCCUGAUUUGGACCUAGACGCGGUGGAGAAGGAGGCACGAGAGGAAGAGGAGGAGGAGGAGGAGAGGAGGAGAAGCCAGACUGUCAGGCAGAAGGGGAAGCGGGAGAACCAGAGGGAGCAGGGGAGGAGGAGCAGAAGCUUACCCAGGAUCAGUGCUCGAUCCUGGGACGCGUUGCUUCCACCUGAGGGGGUGGAGGUGGAGGCGGAGGAGAGGAGGAGGAGGAGCGAGACGAAGAGCAGGAGGAAGGCGACAGCGGGCAACAGAGAGGGGGAGGAGAGGCGGGAGAGAGGCGACAGCACCGCCCGCCGCGCAAAGCAUUCUGGGAGUUCCGGUGCGCCUCAGAAGGCCGUGUUUUCUUUCCUCAUGCCGAGGGACGACGAGAGCGAAUUCGACAGCGAAUCAGCAGCCAGCUUCUCAGAGGUCAGCCAAUCGGCAGCCAGCGUCGCCACGGCCGCCGGGUGGAGGGAGGAGUCCGACUGGAGGAGAGCCGAGUCGCCUUGGCAACAGGGGAAUGCCCCGGGCCCCUGGCUGAAGCCGAGCCCACAGAAACUGACAAAAGUUUUGAUUGGCUGUCGGCUCGGUGGGCGGGAAGCUCUCUCUCUCUGA
rnacentral:lncRNA from 1 species